rnacentral:rRNA from 1 species
UACGUAGGGUGCGAGCGUUAAUCGGAAUUACUGGGCGUAAAGCGUGCGCAGGCGGUUAUAUAAGACAGGUGUGAAAUCCCCGGGCUUAAACCUGGGAAUUGCAUUUGUGACUGUAUAGCUGGAGUACGGCAGAGGGGGAUGGGAAUUCCGCGUGUAGCAGUGAAAUGCGUAGAUAUGCGGAGGAACACCGAUGGCGAAGGCAAUCCCCUGGGCCUGCACUGACGCUCAUGCACGAAAGCGUGGGGAGCAAACAGG